CUGCCCUGGGGUACGGAAUAACUCAGAGAAAUUUGAGCUAAUACCGUAUGAUGACGUAAGUCCAAAGAUUUAUCGCCCUGGGAUGAGCCCGCGUAGGAUUAGCUAGUUGGUGGGGUAAAGGCCUACCAAGGCGACGAUCCUUAGCUGGUCUGAGAGGAUGAUCAGCCACACUGGGACUGAGACACGGCCCAGACUCCUACGGGAGGCAGCAGUGGGGAAUAUUGGACAAUGGGCGAAAGCCUGAUCCAGCAAUGCCGCGUGAGUGAUGAAGGCCUUAGGGUUGUAAAGCUCUUUUACCCGGGAAGAUAAUGACUGUACCGGGAGAAUAAGCCCCGGCUAACUCCGUGCCAGCAGCCGCGGUAAUACGGAGGGGGCUAGCGUUGUUCGGAAUUACUGGGCGUAAAGCGCACGUAGGCGGCUUGGUAAGUUAGAGGUGAAAGCCCAGGGCUCAACCCUGGAAUUGCCUUUA
rnacentral:rRNA from 1 species